AUUGAACGCUGGCGGCAUGCCUUACACAUGCAAGUCGAACGGCAGCACGGGUGCUUGCACCUGGUGGCGAGUGGCGAACGGGUGAGUAAUACAUCGGAACAUGUCCUGUAGUGGGGGAUAGCCCGGCGAAAGCCGGAUUAAUACCGCAUACGAUCUACGGAUGAAAGCGGGGGACCUUCGGGCCUCGCGCUAUAGGGUUGGCCGAUGGCUGAUUAGCUAGUUGGUGGGGUAAAGGCCUACCAAGGCGACGAUCAGGAGCUGGUCUGAGAGGGCGACCAGCCACCCUGGGACUGAGACACGGCCCCGACUCCUACGGGAGGCAGCAGUGGGGAAUUUUGGACAAUGGGCGAAAGCCUGAUCCAGCAAUGCCGCGUGUGUGAAGAAGGCCUUCGGGUUGUAAAGCACUUUUGUCCGGAAAGAACUCCUUGGCCCUAAUACGGUCGGGGGAUGACGGUACCGGAAGAAUAAGCACCGGCUAACUACGUG
rnacentral:rRNA from 1 species